UCAUUCUGUCCUUGUCUAUCUUAUCUUUGAGGGUAAUAAAAGUACGAAAUUGAAAUUGAGCCCUUUCCCCUUCUUUUCUUUUCUACCUGCAUCAUUUCUCCCUUCUACUUUUCUGAGUAUGCCAUUGCGUCGCAGUUCUUCGAUAUCCUUUGAUGAGGAUAUCCAAGAAUUCUCCAAACAGCAAACACAUUUUCAACGAGGAAGGUUCCUCCAAUUUCCGCGUCAUUUCUGAUUUAAUGAACACGCAUCACACCCCAGUCUUAAGAGAGAUCAGAUAGGAAAGAGCAUUUAACAGGACAAUGCAGUUAUAAUGCAGUUAUAGUUCAAUCAUCCUUUGCAAGACUACAAGGAAAAAGAAAAAAAGAUUAAUAUGAAAUCGCAUCACAUCGCAGUCCUUUUAGGGGAGAUAUGGGAGGCAAACAGUUUUCAAGAAGAGACGAAAAAAUUUUGCAGACUUCCCCAACAUUUUGAUUUCAAGGCGCUGAGGAACGUAAAAAAGUGAUUUUUUCAACAUCGUAUACUCCUUUAGAAGAGGAAAGAAAGCAGGAUAUUCAAGACUAUAUUGUUAGAUAAUUAUAUUAUAAUAUUAUAUUUUACGAUUAUUAUUAUUGUACUGCGAUUUAAAAAUACUGUAAUAUUGUUUAGAUAGUAAUUGCGAUAUAUAUAUGUAUUAAAUAAAUAAAAAAAAGUGUCUGAAGAGGACAAGAAAGAAGCGGAAGGAAUCGAACAACGAACGAAGACUGAACAUCUUUUGCCGAACAGGAAUGGUAUUCAGAAGAUAUUUUUGUUCAACAAUCAUCUGUAAUAAAUCCGAAGGGAAAAGAAGACUCAAUAGUUCACCAAAGCGUUCCUCGAAAUUGCCGGAAAAUCUUCAUACUACAUGUAGGGUUUAGCUUUAAAUGUAUUAGAUUAGUUUUCGUCGAGUGUGAAAAGUAUAUUUGUGUGUUGAAAUUUAUUUAGGUAGUUAUUUUGAAACAAAUUGUACUAGCUAGGAAAUUAGAAAAAUAAGUGAAUAGUUUUAAAAAGAAAAAAUAAUUUUAACUGUACACAAGAGGAGGAGGAACGCCAACUUUACAGCAACACAUUUUCUCACUGAUAAUUUGGGAUGGUUCAAGUCUGAUGCUACCUUUGGUUCGACAACAGUUCUUUACGUUAAUUUAACAAGACAGAAGAAUUACAAGAAAAUGUACUUUUUUAAGAAGUAAAAUAAAAGUUUUUUCUAAAAUAAAA